AUCUUGGAAGCAAUCAAGGCCUGGAGGGAGAUAUCUUAAUAUUUGGUUACUAAGUCCACAUCUUAUUAAAGGACUUGUAUACGAUACAUGCCGUACAGAUUAUAUUGUUCGCUUAUUCCUAUUCUUGAUCUGCUUUGCAAUCAUAGCAUGAUGUCUGAAAUACAAUGGUUCCGUGAGCUGCUGAAAAAUUCACUGUCACAAUACAAAGAUCCCACAGAAAAAAUGAAUUAGUAAAUAAAAUGAUUUCUAGAUCACAACAGGUGUCCAGCAUGCACGAAAUAUGCGUUACGUGAUAACCUGCAAUGCGUUACUAAAUUCAUGAGGACCUGCAAAACCUAAAUGAUUACGACAUUUUUCAUUAAGAAAAGGACACAAACCUCACCUUCCGUGCAGGCUAUAAAUUGGGACACACCCUGGGAAACACAACAAUCCAAGAGGCUGCUAUUUGGUCUUCAUAACCAGUUUUCAGGCACGGCAGCCAUGGAUGCUGCCUGUCUCUUUUCCAUGCUUGGCCGGUGACAGCAGCAGUAGCUGCAACUCAGCGCUGCUCCUCAUUAAGAACCAGAGUUCGGAUCCUAUUAUCCCUCGUCUGGGUUUGAAGCGGACUCGGCGUCAAGAUGGAAGUGAAUAAAUCUGAAGCAAUGCCGGAACCAUCACAAGAGAGUGCUCUGGUUCCUCCCACGGCCAACGAAAAGUUUGCUUGCCAGAGAGCAAGGCAAUCGUUGUGAGAAAGAGGAUGGAAGAAGAUUAUUGUAUUUCAAAACCGGCUUGUGAAGUAUGUAACCAGAAGAUCUCUGUAACGGAUUCUCUUUGUUUGAAUAUGUAUUAUGAAUUUGCCUUUGAUUU